UCCAGGGAGGACUAGUGGUUAGGCCUAGGCUCUCAACGCCAUGGCCCAGGUUCGAUUCCCGGCCAGGGAA